CUCAUUCGGAUUGGAGCUGCAACCCGACUCCAUGAAGCUGGAUUCGCUAGUAAUCGCGCAUCAGCCACGGCGCGGUGAAUACGUUCCCGGGCCUUGUACACACCGCCCGUCAAGCCAUGGAAGCCGGGAGUGCCUGUUAAGUGCGUGAGCGCAAGCAGCGCCCUAAGGUAAAACCGGUGACUGGGGCUAAGUCGUAACAAGGUAAC
rnacentral:rRNA from 1 species